rnacentral:rRNA from 1 species
UCCGGUAACUAUGGCGAGAAGGUCACACCCGUUCCCAUCCCGAACACGGAAGUUAAGCUUCUCAGCGCCGAUGGUAGUUGGGGGAUCUCCCCUGCAAGAGUAGGACGUUGCCGGGU